rnacentral:ribozyme from 1 species
AUGAGAAAAACAAGAAAAUAGGCAAAAUAGAAAUACUCGCAAUUUGUCUUUUGUCUCUUGCUGCAUUUCUUCUUGUCGUUUACUUUUUAU